GGAGAUGUAGCUUAGUGGCAAAGCUCACGAAAAGUAAUAGUUCACCAAACUAACCCCAAGUCCCAGGCUUAAUUGUCAUGUGUCGGGAGAAGGCGAUGGGAGCCAUUUUCGGAUCGUGGGUCAUUGGUUCGAUUCCAACCGCUUUCA